rnacentral:snoRNA from 1 species
GGCCAGUGAUUGCAAACACAUAUUUGCUACUCUUGAAAGCACGGCCACGGCCGCGCCUUACUGACGACACAACAACACCAAGAUCUAUGAGGCC